CAGCAGCCGCGGUAAUACAGAGGAUGCAAGCGUUAUCCGGAAUGAUUGGGCGUAAAGGGCUCGCGGGCGGUUUCUUAAGUCUGAUGUGAAAGCCCCCCGGCUCAACCGGGGAGGGUCAUUGGAAACUGGGAAACUUGAGUGCAGAAGAGGAGAGUGGAAUUCCACGAGUAGCGGUGAAAUGCGUAGAGAUGUGGAGGAACACCAGUGGCGAAGGCGACUCUCUGGUCUGUAACUGACGCUGAGGAGCGAAAGCGUGGGGAGCGAACAGGAUUAGAUACCCCCGUAGUCCCUGUCUCUUAUA
rnacentral:rRNA from 1 species